ACAAACUCGCAGAGAGUCAAGUGAAACACCGGUCCCUGAUUUUCUCAGGCACCACAAAAACACACGGCGAUAGACUUCAUACGGUCUGCCAAAUGCAGACUGAAAUACAUGGCGUCUAACAAUGCUAGCGGCUCGCCAGGCUGAGCAGUGAAGCGGUGAGUGAACAGUGAUUCCAGGCAGCAGAUAACCCUCUGAGGAGAAGAAGGACUUCCCACAUGGACUCCAACAGUGCCGGCAGCGUGCAAUAUGAUCGCUGGAACGAGGAAAACAUCAACAUGAAAGUCGAUGCACCACAGUCUUCUGUAAUGAGGCCCACUGGUGCAGGAGUCAAUGUUGCAGGAAGCUGUGAAUCAAAAGUCCCUUAAAUCGGUCUGGUGUAAGUCUCUGAAUUCGGGGACAUAUGCUUUGGUCCCUGCUGCAAGAGUAACACUAAUUUUAUUUUAUUUAUUGGAUGAUAAUCGUCUUUAAGCUAAACUCAGUUUGGUCAUCCAACAAAUGAUGCCACC